AGGGAUUUAGCUUAGUGGCUUAAGCACUUGCCUGGUAGGCAUGAGGUCAUGAGUUCAAUCCCUG
rnacentral:tRNA from 1 species